GGGCUGCUCCUAGUACGAGAGGACCGGAGUGGACGCAUCACUGGUGUUCGGGUUGUCAUGCCAAUGGCACUGCCCGGUAGCUAAAUGCGGAAGAGAUAAGUGCUGAAAGCAUCUAAGCACGAAACUUGCCCCGAGAUGAGUUCUCCCUGAGACUUUAAGUCUCCUGAAGGAACGUUGAAGACGACGACGUUGAUAGGUCGGGUGUGUAAGCGCAGCGAUGCGUUGAGCUAACCGAUACUAAUGAACCGUGAGGCUUAACCUU
rnacentral:rRNA from 1 species